rnacentral:rRNA from 1 species
AUGAAUACUUGGAAUGAGGUAAGGCUGAGGCUAAGUAAGAAGGAAACAAUUGAUAAAGACAUGCAACAAGAGAUUGCAAGGGAGAAGGAGCGAUGGAGACUUGUUUUAAUUAGAAUUGUUGCUGCUGUGAAAUUUCUUGCUAAACAUAGUCUAGCUUUUCGAGGAUCGAAUGAGAAAUUAUAUCAAGAUAACAAUGGAAUUUUUUUGGGAGUAAUUGAAAUGAUGGCAGAAUUUGAUCCUGUAAUGCAAGAGCAUCUUCGGCGCAUUAAGAAUAGUGAAAUCCAUCAUCAUUAUCUUGGCCAUAAUAUUCAGAAUGAGUUAAUUUCCCUUCUUGGUCGCACUGUUAAAUAUUCUCUGUUGAGGAUAAUUAAGGAUGCAAGGUAUUUCUCUGUCAUCUUGGACGGUACACCUGACGUGAGCCAUCAAGAACAAAUGACUCUAAUUGUGAGGUGCGUAAACAUGUCAAGUACUACUACAAAAAUAGAGGAGUUUUUUCUGGAGUUCUUGAAGGUGGAUGAUACAUCCGGACUUGGACUUUAUAAUGUGUUACUAGAUUCACUUAAAUAUGUUGGUUUGGAUGUUAAAGAUGUUCGUGGACAAGGGUAUGACAAUGGUUCGAACAUGAAGGGAAAACACCAAGGGGUACAGAGCAGACUACUUGAAACUAAUCCAAGAGCAUUAUUCAUGCCAUGCGCUUGUCAUAGCCUGAACCUUACUCUUAGUGAUAUGGCAAAAUCUUGCGGUAAAGCUGUUACCUUCUUUGGUGUUGUGCAAAGAAUUUAUAUAUUGUUUUCAAGCUCUACUAAAAGAUGGCAGCUAUCGCUUGAUCAUGUUCCAAAAAUGACAGUUAAGUCUUUGUGUAACACUCGAUGGGAGAGUCGAAUAAAGAGUGUUCAGGCUAUCAGAUAUCAAGCACCCGAGUUAAGAAAAGCAUUACUGGAAUUGAAGAGAACUUCUACCGAUGACGCCAAGACUAAGAGCGGCGCAAAAUCUUUGACUAGCGCACUUGAGAAAUUUGAAUUUUUACUUGGCAUGGUCAUUUGGCAUGACAUUUUGUUCACUGUAAACAUGGUGAGUAAGAAGUUGCAAUCUAAGUUUGUGUGCAUUGAUGUUACUCUUAAACAAAUUGAAGGUGCCAUCUCAUAUUUUAAGAAGUACAUAAAUGACGGCUUUGCAACUAGUCUGGAUAUUGCGAGAUCUAUUGCAAUUGACAUGGGUGUACAACCUUUGUUUCCUGUCAAGAGACGUAUUACUAGAAAAAGACAGUUUGAUGAAAUUAGUGGCAAUGACGAAAAUAACCAUAAUGAAGAAAUGCAAGCAAUUAAAUACUUUUUGGUGAUGAUUGAUGUUGCAAUUGCUUCCCUAACUACUAGAUUUGAGGAACUGAGGACAUUUGGGAGCAUAUUUGGUUUCUUGUUCAACUCGAAAGAGUUGAAGUCCUUGGCUGAUAAUGAUCUAAGAAGAUGUUGCACUAAUUUUGUCAACAAAUUCACUCAUGGUAAGUCAGCAGAUGUCGAUCUAGAUGAUUUCGUUUCUGAACUAAAAGUACUGCAGAUGACAUUGCCAAACACAUUCAUGUCAACGGAUCAGAUAUUUGAGUUUGUUAGAGAUGCGGAUUGGUAUCCAAAUGUCUCAAUUGCUUAUCGUAUCCUUUUGACCGUACAUGUGACUGUUGCAUCAGCUGAAAGGAGUUUCUCAAAAUUGAAACUAUUGAAAAAUUAUUUGAGGUCAACGAUGUCUCAAGAAAGAUUGAAUGGAUUGGCCAUGUGCUGCAUUGAGAAGAAUAUGCUGGAUAGUAUUGAUCUUGACACUCUCAUUGAUGAUUUUGCGUCAAAAAAUGCACGAAAGUCUCGUUUCACAUGA